rnacentral:rRNA from 1 species
GACGAACGCUGGCGGCGUGCUUAACACAUGCAAGUCGAACGGAAAGGCCCUGCUUGCAGGGUACUCGAGUGGCGAACGGGUGAGUAACACGUGGGUGAUCUGCCCUGCACUUCGGGAUAAGCCUGGGAAACUGGGUCUAAUACCGGAUAGGAGCCAUUUUUAGUGUGAUGGUUGGAAAGUUUUUUCGGUGUAGGAUGAGCUCGCGGCCUAUCAGCUUGUUGGUGGGGUAAUGGCCUACCAAGGCGGCGACGGGUAGCCGGCCUGAGAGGGUGGACGGCCACAUUGGGACUGGGAUGCGGCCCAGACUCCUACGGGAGGCAGCAGUGGGGAAUAUUGCACAAUGGGCGCAAGCCUGAUGCAGCGACGCCGCGUGGGGGAUGACGGCCUUCGGGUUGUAAACUCCUUUCGCUAGGGACGAAGCUUUUUGUGACGGUACCUAGAUAAGAAGCACCGGCUAACUACGUG